rnacentral:lncRNA from 1 species
UUGGAUUUCACUAUCUUAUUCGCAUUCGGGAUUGGUGUCGGCAACACACAUGUCCCAAUAUGCACAAAGAGAAAUUGUAGUAGUAUUUUAUUAGGUAAUGGGGAAAGAGAAAACAUGUCAACACAAGUCAGGUGUAGUUUGUGGAUGAAAAUGGGAGGAGGAUGCUUGAAUUCAAAUUUUAAAUUUUAAAUUUGAAUUUUUAUUAAAAAAAAUUAAAAAAAAUAAUCAUUGGAAAGCGAUGGUCUUGGGCUGAAACCGUCAAUUCGGUCGACU